CUCUUGUUUCCCCCCCGCUCUUUGAUUUUGCCAUAAGAUUUCCUCUUUCACCUUCCCCAGAAAGUAGCAUCCGUCAGAGGAAGGCCUCUUAUGUUGGGUGAAUCAAGACAAGACUCCUCCAAUAAGACAGUUAGUGUUGGAUUAUGCUCGAAUUGAACUAAUUCUUCCUAUGUGUUGGAAAUCAAAAGUGUUUAUACCUGUUCUGAACGUCCACACUGGAAGGUGGAGCGUAAAGCUGACCGUCAUAGAGAGUCACCUGGAAGCUGUUUAUAGUGUUGCGCUCAGUUGUUCACAUGAAAAGUGAACAACAAAAAUAGCUGUGUAAAGAAUGGAAAAAAAAAAAAAGGGGAAAAAAGAAAACGUGCUAGAGACAGAAGUUCAAAUCCUGUUUACUCUCUCACACCCACACAACUGAACAGUCACGGCGUGAAGUGGGUGCAAAUGAAAAAUUGUUAGUUUCACAUCGAAAAGGUGUGGGGAGUUUCCAAAACUAUUCCACCACUAGGAAAGCACUUCUGAAGAAGAAUACUGUCAUCUCAAGUGUUGUUUAAGUUUAUGCGUUUGUAGUUCUUCAGUUACUUGUUCACCAAAUUGAACGGUGAAGUAGCAACAGCAAACACACAGAGUCCUGCUGCAGAGAAAAAUACAGAGGAUGUCGACUGUGCGGGAACCCACCGCUGCGAACGUUCUCCCGACCGUUUUCAUCCCCACUCUACAAUGGCAAACCUAACUGCAGGUGCCCACCUGUCUUUUUUUUUUUACGCUCAGUGGUGGUCAUAUUGACUUGGAGCACUGUCUCUUUCUUUUUUUACAACCUUGUACUUUCCUUUCUGUUCAGUCUUGGCAGGAGAAGAGCAGCUGUCGCAUGCCUCUCGUUUCUGGGGUCACGCUUGCCAUCAAGGAGUGACUGUCCUUUUGUUUUGCAGCAUGUCUUCUGUGUGUCCUGCUCCCGUAGGGCCUCCCACCGUUAAGCAAGAUCUUCAAAACAAAAUUCACAGUUCAAAUACCAGAUUAUUCUCAAAAGAGACUGUCAACAGACAGGUGAGAGUAGAAGAGCCAACCAGGAAGCCCUGACCCUUGACCUCUCAUCUCUAACCUUGGAUCAUCAGCUGGGUUGUUCUGGGUGUCCAAAUGAGUCGACCUGGCCUCAACCCUAACAGUGACCUCUGGUCCCUGACAGUUGUUAUUUGCCUGCAACAGAACACACCGAGCCUGAGAAAAAGAGAGGUGAAGUGCGUAGAAAUAGUUCAGGUUAAGUUAAAGAACCAAUGUAUUGUUGUAAAAUGCGGCAUUAAAAGUAAAAGCUUGACUUUGUAACAUGAACGCCAUAUUUCUAGGCUUGUGAUAAAACAUUUUUUAAAAAAAGCAAAGAGUUGCCACUGUGACUUUUUGUCAGGGCAUUGAUCGGCGACUUCGACUGGAUCUUUUUUCAUUGUCUCACGGUGCUUUAAACAGCACACCCCCACUAAUGCAGCCCCCUGCGCUGUUUCAGGUCUGAAUCCCUACUUAGGAUCACAAGAUAAAAUCUAGCCAUACGUGAGAUGAUUAAUGGGGCUGGAAAGAAGAAGAAACAAAACUCAGACUUAGACUUUUCUCUGAUCUCAGUUUACUGUGAAAUUGAAAAUUUAGAAGGAGAAUUACUUUGAUAUAACUGCGAACAACUCACAAAUAGUUUAAACUUGAAAAGGGGCCCCGUUUACACACUGUUUCUUUUCUGAGAGGUAAUAAGCUAAAACAUUUGGGAAUUAACAGAUUUAAUCUACAACAAUGUAUUG